rnacentral:rRNA from 1 species
AAUAGUUCAGCACUAAGUCGCAUUACUAUUUAUUUAGUAAUUGUGAGAUGCAGUGUAUGGAAUAUCUAAUUCUAGUAUGAAAAAUUAAUUAUUUAAGUCCUUCUUAAAUGAGGCCAUUUACCCAUAGAGGGUGCCAGGCCCGUAGAAAAUUAAUGAUUACUAGAAGAUAUUUCCAAAGAGUCGUGUUGCUUGAUAGUGCAGCACUAAGUUGGUGGUAAACUCCAUCUAAAACUAAAUAUAACCAUGAGACCGAUAGUAAACAAGUACCGUGAGGGAAAGUUGAAAAGAACUCUGAAUAGAGAGUUAAAUAGUACGUGAAACUGCUUAGAGGUUAAACCCGAUGAACCUGAAUAUCCAAAUAUAGAGAAUUCAUUAUUAAGGCAAUGUAAAUAUUAUUUUUACAUUGUAAUGGUGUGCAUUUUCUCUAUAUAAAAAUGGACAUUGUAAUCUAUUAAUAUCAUAAAAAUUUAUCAUAAGAUUAUUGACAAAUGUUUAUUUAAAUUAAUUUGCUUCGGCUUAUUAACAUAAAAUAAAUUGUUUAUAAUUUGAUAAAGUAUUGAUAGAUUUAAUCAUAUGUAUAAUGCAUAAAUUCUAAUAUAGAAUUUUAUUAUAUAUAUAUAUAUAUAUAUAUAAUAUGCAUUAAUACGAUUUACAAUGCGAAAGAUUCAGGAUACCUUCGGGACCCGUCUUGAAACACGGACCAAGGAGUCUAACAUAUGUGCAAGUUUUUGGGAAUUAUUUUAUUAUAAAACCCAAAAAGCAUAAUUAACAUGACUAUUAUUAAAAUGGGAUUAGUUUUUAAAAAUUCAAUAUGAAAUAUAUAUUAAAAAUUCAAUCCCMGGGCGUUCUAUACAGUUAUGUAUUAUUAUAAAAAAUAGCMUUUAUGUUAUUUUUAUUUUAUACCUCUAACUAGAGCGUACCUUUAGCAUAUAUGCUGUGACCCGAAAGAUGGUGAACUAUACUUGAUCAGGUCGAAGUCAGGGGAAACCCUGAUGGAAGACCGAAACAGUUCUGACGUGCAAAUCGAUUGUCAGAAU